rnacentral:lncRNA from 1 species
GUCAGUAUAGUUCUAUUUAUUGCAGAGGUCAUUGUGGAGACAUAUAGUUCAUAUCAAGGGUCCAUGGGGUAGAAGUUGUCAGAAUCUGUAUGGGUAACCAACAGAAGAUAGUCUAAUUUUAUGGAAGAAUAUUGUUGAUUUCCCCCUUUGUGUUGAAUACCUCAUAUUUUAUCUUCUCCUAAUUCUUCAUUUCUUAUCCCUUCAUAAAUGUUCUUUUUCCUUCUAUUGUGCAGUAUGCCUAGUUGCAUCGCUUGCAUACUUGUAUUGUGGUUAUAUUUACAUCGUGAUUAACAUGAAUAUUUUCUAGACUAAUACAAUUUGCCACUCAUCUUCUCAUCAUUGCAUUUCAUCUUCAUAAUCUGAUUCCAUCCUAACUUCAUAGCUCUAAGUUAAAUGUCUUGGUAAAUGAGUAUAUACAUAUUUGCUUUCGUAAACAUGGAAUGUAUAUCAUUUGAAGAUCUAAAUCUCAAAGUGGUUUCAUGACUCAAUCCAACCUCAU